ACAGAGUUAAAUUCCAUGUUACAUGGCUCCUUCCAACCUCAGUCGUGUCAGCUUUAGACCAAGAAAACACUCUUUUAAUUUAUGUCAAGUCUGCUGUCAUAAUGCCACCUUCCAGGAAUGUAUUCUUUACCUGGAGCUUGCUCCAUCCACUCUUCUCUUUUCUCCACAUAGUUCCUGAAUCAGGCUGUGUACUACAGUAACUACUUUAAGUUGUGUGAAAAGCAUUGUAAAAACAUUCCUGAUAAUUUUAUAAAUAGCUUUGCCUAAGCGACAUCGCCUGAGGGGUGGGGUGAUUGUGGCUAUUGUGUUGUGACAUUUUAGAUUCAUGCAGCAUUUUGCAGAGUAACAGCGCGGUGCCUGCUGAUCUUCUUCUUUUCUAUCCGACUCAUCACUUCCCAACUCGUGUUGUCACAUUGCUUUCGUUUUGAUUGAUGGCCGAAUGAGACAGAAGCAGGUGGCUCGCUAUCAUUAAAAGGACUGCUUCCCGUUGCUGUACUAGAUAGCAUUCUCUCUAGGACACUGCAUGCUCGCUUGCUGUUUUUAUACAGUAGGUACCCUGCUGCUGGUGAGAGAAGGAAUGCCAGCUCACUGAAUGUGGGACUCAUCCCUAGCUGAUACCACUGAUCUGCACUGUUUGAACAUAUCUGAAGUACUGUAUAUGAGAGAGCCACACCUGGCAAGAUCAGAGGACCCCCCACAUACUGGGCAGCACUCAGGACACUUUAUGCUACAUUGUGGAAACUGGCCUCAAAAUAUCUAUGCAUUCCAGCAUCAUCGGUUGCAUGUGAGAGAAUAUUUUCCAGAGCUUAGGAAGUGGUGAGCUGGAAGAGGAGCUGACUGAAGCCUGCCACGGCAGAAAAUAUAUUAUUUUUGAAAAAAACCUUUGAAGAAAAAUCCUUUUGUCACCUCACUUCUGUUUAUUAGCAAUCCUUAUGUACCAUAUUAUUCACCUAAACAACUGGUAAAUAAAACUUAACUUAUAAAAAGAAACACAAAGACUAAACAAAACAAGACCUUUAGGUCUUCAUCCAAACCCCAUCACCACUUGUAAAGCUGCAGCAGGAAAUAUCUCUGGUAAGUCUUUUUAGUCCAGUGUUUCGGAUUCAAACUUGUUUUUUUUUAAAAAAAAAAACAAAAAACUCUCUAAAUCCUAAAUCUGCCAAGUUAUAUUUAUCCUUAAAUUAAAUCUGGAAUUUGUCUUGUGUGUGGAUGAGUGUGUUUGCACAUUAAG